rnacentral:rRNA from 1 species
GACGAACCGUGCGAACGUUAUUCGGAAUCACUGGGCUUAAAGCGCGUGUAGGCGGGACGGCGCGUCGGCCGCUGAAAUCCCCCGGCUCAACCGGGGAAGUGGCGCCGAGACGGCCGCCCUGGAGCGACGUAGGGGGGACCGGAACUUCCGGUGGAGCGGUGAAAUGCGUUGAGAUCGGAAGGAACGCCCGUGGCGAAAGCGGGUCCCUGGACGUCGGCUGACGCUGAGACGCGAAAGCCAGGGGAGCGAACGGG